UAAUUGAUCUAAUUGGUGUCUAGGAAAGCAUGAAAGGUGGUUACUUAAUUAGGACCUUACUCUCUGAGUAAGGGGAGCCUCCCACCUGCUUACCUGGCCAAUUGUUCGAUUACCUCUUAUGAAGAGCUCAAGUUGCAAACACUAAGAUCUGAUUAACCAAUAUUAAGUCAAUAGGUCUUCCACUGUAGUAGAGCUGCUAAGGUCUUUCUGAUGUUGAUUUGUCUCGGCUGGACACAGUGGGCAAGUUGCAUCGGAGGGCCGGACCUCUCUAUAGACAUGAGAUGUUGUAGGGUAAAGGUGGGGUUGGGCACCAAUAACUGUUAGGUGAGGACCCAAUGACGACUUUAUU
rnacentral:lncRNA from 1 species